rnacentral:lncRNA from 1 species
UAUCACGCUAUAUUGAAGUGACACACCCUUCAAUAAAAUGCAAAGAAAGUCAAAAUAAAAAUGCUCUUUCUAGGAUACUGUGGCACCGUAUUGUCAUUUUUGUUUACUCAGGAACAUCUCAUUCUUAAAUUUUUCAAGGGGAAAAUAUAAAGGUAGCAAAAUUAUUGUCGUGGCUAAAUAACUCUUAACUGACACAAUUUCAAUUGUCCAACCCAUUAACAGAC